GAUGAACGCUGGCGGCGUGCCUAAUACAUGCAAGUCGAGCGAACAGAUAAGGAGCUUGCUCCUUUGACGUUAGCGGCGGACGGGUGAGUAACACGUGGGUAACCUACCUAUAAGACUGGGAUAACUUCGGGAAACCGGAGCUAAUACCGGAUAAUAUUUCGAACCGCAUGGUUCGAUAGUGAAAGAUGGUUUUGCUAUCACUUAUAGAUGGACCCGCGCCGUAUUAGCUAGUUGGUAAGGUUACGGCUUACCAAGGCGACGAUACGUAGCCGACCUGAGAGGGUGAUCGGCCACACUGGAACUGAGACACGGUCCAGACUCCUACGGGAGGCAGCAGUAGGGAAUCUUCCGCAAUGGGCGAAAGCCUGACGGAGCAACGCCGCGUGAGUGAUGAAGGUCUUCGGAUCGUAAAACUCUGUUAUUAGGGAAGAACAUACGUGUAAGUAACUGUGCACGUCUGGACGGUACCUAAGCAGAAAGCCACGGCUAACUACGU
rnacentral:rRNA from 1 species